UACGGAGGGCGCAAGCGUUGUUCGGAAUCACUGGGCGUAAAGCGCGUGUAGGCGGCUUGGCAAGUCGGGUGUGAAAUCCCGAGGCUCAACCUCGGAACUGCACUCGAAACUGCCUGGCUUGAGUCCCGGAGAGGGUGGCGGAAUUCCCGGUGUAGGGGUGAAAUCCGUAGAUAUCGGGAGGAACACCAGUGGCGAAGGCGGCUACCUGGACAGUAACUGACGCUCAGGCACGAAAGCGUGGGGAGCAAAAGGG
rnacentral:rRNA from 1 species